UUUUGUCCACAGCAGAUUGUUGUACAAACGUAUCGUGUGUGUAGGUAUUUUGCUAGCAUUCACGGUCGAUAUUUUCUUGGCAUAAAGAAGAUACAAGAGAUUAUUUUACAUAGCCUUGCAACCGUUACGAUUUUUUCGAUGACUUUUGAAAGAAACACGCUUGACGACAUGUACAAGAUAGAUAUGGUUCAACGUUAAUUAAACGUCGUGUUCUUACGCUACUUUACCGUUCGAUUAGAAAUUUAUUGUAAAUACGUGUGGAUGAAAACAACAUUAAAAGCGCGGUAAUUACAGUUGCGGUAGUUCGUGGACGCGCGUAUUCGUAACGUGCAACGCAAUAUCAUUCGAACAGGCUACAAUGUUGCACUGUUAACAAAUGUGUACAUGUUCGGCGCAAGAUGAAUUUCUUUAUACGUAUAUGUAUGUGUAUUUAACCAAUGAAAUCGGGACCCACAGGGAUUACUUGGAUUACGUAUAAGGAGAUGGAUAUAAAACGUGACAAUUUAAAUAUUUAAUGUUGCCACAUGUGUUGGUAUUUUAUAGUUAGAACAAGAAUACAAGAAAAACAUUUAUUUUAAUAAUUUGUAUAUUGGCAUCAAAAGUUGUAGUCUAUAAUGCGUUAUACAUUCUCGUAGCGUUCUAUGAGAAAACGGUGACGCCGAUGAAUAAAGCGAGAAUGUUUUUUUAAAUAAUUGUAGUAAUGAUUGUGAAUAAUGAACUUUCUAGUGUGUAACGAGAAUCUUUGAGCGUACGAGUUUUGUGGGAUACACUCCAUUGCAUCCUACGGAUAUGUAUAAUCGACCUGUCAUGGAACAAGGAACUUGUAAUAUAGUAGGGGAUUGCGUAUAAAAGAGAAGGAGCUAACACUAAAUGCUGUAAUUGUACCGCGACAAACUUAUGCAACGUUAACUGAUAAACGGUAAUACGAAAUAUAAUUACAAACUGUGUUUUGUUAGAUUUUCUAUUCGAUUCGCAACUGAUAUUAUCGAUUUUGAUUUUGAACGAGUUCGGAGACAAACGUGUACUGUACAUGCAGAGAAUUUGUUACCUGUAAGCUACAAGAACCGCGAACGGAACUAAAAUCAUUCCUAUCCAUACACGUGCAAGUGUAGAAAGUUGAUAUACUCGAUACAAAUACGUAUUCACACGAAACAACUUUUGGGUGCAAUUGGUGAACAAAAUAAAUGGUUCAUUGCGGGUUGCGGCAUAUGAUAUUAUUCCGUCUAUUCUGUCCAUUCGAUAUCAUUUGUUCAAUAUCAUUGUUAUAAUAGGAUUUCGGCGUGCCUCGUAACUACAGCUGACACUUAACGAUUAAUUAUUUAUCAACAAGUCGUCAUCGAUACGAUCACGGUUCUCGAAAUAAUAUUGGUUCUAAACAAUGUCCUGGAUAUCAUUCGUGAUGUCAACGAAGGAAAACGAAGGAGAACGACUCGCACACUCCGUCGUUGAGUAAUUGGUCGUUUUCGUAGAAAGAUUUCUAGAUUUUUGGAUUUGUAUGUUUGCAGAGAUUUGUAGAGUUUUGAAUUUGUUGAUUUACAGGUUGAUCGAUUUGUUCAAUCAUGACUAAUUUCGAUCUAAUUUUCAAGGAGUUAGUUGCAGCAGUCCAUACUCCAUACUCCAUACACCAUACAGCAUACAGCAUACUCCAUAUUCCAUAUUCCAUAUUCUAUAUUCCAUACUUCAUACUUCAUACUUCACAUACUCCAUCGGUGUAAAGAAAAAACAAUAUUUCAAAGGAAAUUACAUGAUAUUGCAGCAUUUAGUGACACGCCGUAGAAAAGAACAUGUUUCUCUAUUGAUUCGGUAUUAAAAAUCUACCUAAAUUUGAGUAUUAUUUGGAUUCCAGGAUGUACACAUGGUAAAUAAAAAGUUGCAUCGUCAACCCGCAA